rnacentral:rRNA from 1 species
AGUGAUGAAGGCUUUCGGGUCGUAAAACUCUGUUGUUAGGGAAGAACAAGUGCUAGUUGAAUAAGCUGGCACCUUGACGGUACCUAACCAGAAAGCCACGGCUAACUACGUGCCAGCAGCCGCGGUAAUACGUAGGUGGCAAGCGUUAUCCGGAAUUAUUGGGCGUAAAGCGCGCGCAGGUGGUUUCUUAAGUCUGAUGUGAAAGCCCACGGCUCAACCGUGGAGGGUCAUUGGAAACUGGGAGACUUGAGUGCAGAAGAGGAAAGUGGAAUUCCAUGUGUAGCGGUGAAAUGCGUAGAGAUAUGGAGGAACACCAGUGGCGAAGGCGACUUUCUGGUCUGUAACUGACACUGAGGCGCGAAAGCGUGGGGAGCAAACAGGAU